AUUGAACGCUGGCGGCAUGCCUUACACAUGCAAGUCGAACGGCAGCACGGGAGCAAUCCUGGUGGCGAGUGGCGAACGGGUGAGUAAUAUAUCGGAACGUGCCCAGUCGUGGGGAUAACGUAGCGAAAGCUACGCUAAUACCGCAUACGAUCUAUGGAUGAAAGCGGGGGAUCGCAAGACCUCGCGCGAUUGGAGCGGCCGAUAUCAGAUUAGGUAGUUGGUGAGGUAAAGGCUCACCAAGCCGACGAUCUGUAGCUGGUCUGGAGA
rnacentral:rRNA from 1 species